CAGUCCCACAACAGGAGACUUCAUUCACAGUGCUACAGAAGCAGAGGAAACGAAAAGAAGGAACAAGAAGAGAAUUAAUAAGCAAGAC
ensembl:lncRNA